GAUGAACGCUAGCUACAGGCUUAACACAUGCAAGUCUUAGGGGCAGCAUGACGAGUGCUUGCACUUGUUGAUGGCGACCGGCGCACGGGUGCGUAACGCGUAUCGAACCUUCCCCUUACUCGGGAAUAGCCCGGUGAAAACCGAAUUAAUGCCCGAUAUAUAUUUAGAUGGCAUCAGAAGAGUAUGAAAGAUUUAUCGGUAAGGGAUGGCGAUGCGUAGGAUUAGGUAGUCGACGGGGUAACGGCCCACCGAGCCAACGAUCCUUAGGGGUUCUGAGAGGAAGGUCCCCCACAUUGGAACUGAGACACGGUCCAAACUCCUACGGGAGGCAGCAGUGAGGAAUAUUGGUCAAUGGACGAGAGUCUGAACCAGCCAAGUAGCGUGCAGGAAGACGGCCCUGUGGGUUGUAAACUGCUUUUAUAGGGGAAUAAAGUGAGCCACGUGUGGUUUUUUGUAUGUACCCUAUGAAUAAGGACCGGCUAAUUCC
rnacentral:rRNA from 1 species